GCGAUCAUCGUGAUAAACUUCUUCAGUGGGACCGCAGAUCAGGUUCAUCAUUUCCUCUUCGUGUUCUCUCGGAUCGGCCAUUUCUAUAGAAAUAUGUGACACAUCACUACUAGCACUACUGUGUAUACUUGACAAGGAAACAAUAUAUAAAACUAGGGUUUAGAGUUUAGGGUUUAGGGCUUAGGGCUUAGGGCUUAGAACAUCACUAAAUACAUCACAGAACACUAUAGAACAUCACUAAAUACAUCAAAUAUAUAUUACGUAAAAAAAACUAAAUACACCAUAGAACAUCACU
rnacentral:lncRNA from 1 species